CUGUCUCUGGCUGUCAUCUGCAGCAAGUGCUCAGGGGAGGAGAAGGAGGAACAGGACAAGUCUGCUGCCUGAUGAGGCCAUCUGACACCCCUCCUUGGUGUGCUUGGAGAAGCAGUGACAUGAGGACAGCUCUUGACUCCUCUCCAUGCUGCCCAUGAGAGCCUCAAGCUGAUGUUUUUGAAGGACUACCCAUAGUUCUUCUGACAUGGUAAUAGCUAAAUUAAAGUCUAUUACGGCCAGUGUACAGCUUGAAUUGCUUUUCCAUAUAUCCAUUACUUUUUCUUCAUCAAUAGCGAGCUGCAGCUGCUGUUUUAACCCCUGGUCACUCAGAAUGAUGGGACCUGCUGCACCUCUGCACAGCUACCUUUCACUUUGACCACUUUAAAUAACGCUGUGGCAUUGACCAACUCAGUCAUCUUGGCACUGGACCUCCUGGAACAUCAAAAUUC